AAGAACUUGAAUUCAGCUGUAUACCAAAUCACUAAUCCUUAUGCUUUUGAUUCUGAGAUGAGAUCUGAAAGAAGAAACUAUACCAGUGCCCCAGGGAAGGAAGGUAAAUCAGUAAAUGAAUUGCCUAACCUAAAAAUAUAGGUUAUUGUCUACUGGGCCAGAUUUAUAAAGACAGGAAUCAUAGAACUAAGUGAUCCCUCCACAGACUGGUUGUAGAGGUUCUCCUAAAGAAUCAUGGCCAUCUAUGCUUGCAUGGAUCCAGGUAGGAGACAGGAACAUGUGCUGCCUCAUCCCUGGGGCUGGGAGAUGCUGUGAGAGCACGCAUACAAGGGCAGAAGAGGAAAGGAGGAGACAAAGGCCACCACACGAACCUCAAUGUUGGACACCAUGUCUCGAACUUGGCUGAAAUGUAGCCCCAUAGCUCCUGUCAUGAAUGCAUUUGGAAUAUAAAUAAGAUUUCAAGGUGA